UCCGGCUUGCCGCCGGCAGUCCCUCCAGAGUGCCCAACUAAAUGAUGGCAACUGAAGAGCUACAUCUCUGUUGCUCAUACGGGACAUGUCAAAGGUUGGUAAGGUUCUGCGCGUUGCUUCGAAUUGAACCACAUGCUCCACCGCUUGUGCGGGCCCCCGUCAAUUCCUUUGAGUUUUAAUCUUGCGACCGUACUCCCCAGGCGGGAUGCUUAAUGCGUUAGCUGCGCCACUGACAGGCAAGCCUGCCAACGGCUAGCAUCCAUCGUUUACGGCGUGGACUAC
rnacentral:misc_RNA from 1 species